rnacentral:lncRNA from 1 species
AAUGAAUCCUUAUAUAAUGUUAUGAAGUAUGUUGGUCUUAUGUCUAAUGAUAAAUGAAGAUGUUAAGACUUGUUGAAUAUGAUGUGCCUAGUCUAUGGUGGCUUCCUAGGAACACUUGGUGUGAGUAGUAUUAUGGGAUGCUAUUUGCACAUUGCACUAGUGUGACUUGGGGGUUGUCUUAGGUGAUGGUUCCUAUGUGAAGACUAUGUCUUAUGGUGUACUUAUGACUCUAUGAAUAUAUGUGGUUGGAUUGAUGAAGGCUAUAUGUAAGUUCACC